CAAACCUCAAGCCUUGCUUGGUGAUGGGUCCCGCCCGCGUGGCGGGCCCGAAACUCGUGGGCGCCCCAGGCCGGACUCCAAGCGUAGCAAAACCCUCGCUUGUGGAUGACCGGUCAGAGGCCGCCCCGGACCCCUAACAUAUCAAU
rnacentral:misc_RNA from 1 species